rnacentral:rRNA from 1 species
AGAGUUUGAUCAUGGCUCAGGACGAACGCUGGCGGCGUGCUUAACACAUGCAAGUCGAGCGGAAAGGCCCUUCGGGGUACUCGAGCGGCGAACGGGUGAGUAACACGUGAGUAAUCUGCCUCUAGCUCUGGGAUAGCUCCGGGAAACCGGGAUUAAUACCGGAUACGACCACUUUAGACAUCUUUUGUGGUGGAAAGAACUUCGGCUAGAGAUGAGCUCGCGGCCUAUCAGCUUGUUGGUGGGGUAACGGCCUACCAAGGCGACGACGGGUAGCCGGCCUGAGAGGGCGACCGGCCACACUGGGACUGAGACACGGCCCAGACUCCUACGGGAGGCAGCAGUGGGGAAUAUUGCGCAAUGGGCGAAAGCCUGACGCAGCGACGCCGCGUGGGGGAUGAAGGCCUUCGGGUUGUAAACCCCUUUCAGCGGGGACGAAGCGAAAGUGACGGUACCUGCAGAAGAAGCGCCGGCUAACUACGUGCCAGCAGCCGCGGUAACACGUAGGGCGCAAGCGUUGUCCGGAAUUAUUGGGCGUAAAGAGCUCGUAGGCGGUCUGUUGCGUCCGCUGUGAAAACUCGGGGCUUAACCCCGAGCCUGCAGUGGAUACGGGCAGACUAGAGGUAGGUAGGGGAGAAUGGAAUUCCCGGUGUAGCGGUGAAAUGCGCAGAUAUCGGGAGGAACACCGGUGGCGAAGGCGGUUCUCUGGGCCUUACCUGACGCUGAGGAGCGAAAGCGUGGGGAGCGAACAGGAUUAGAUACCCUGGUAGUCC